AAGCACGAUGAGGGAAUCCCAAGUGCUUGCUCGUUAGAGUAAGCUGUUUCUAUGUUUAAAACGCAUGGAGAGUAAGGGCUGGGUAAGACGGGUGCCAGCCGCCGCGGUAAUACCUGCAGCUCUAGUGGUGACCGCUAUUAUUGGGCCUAAAACGUCCGUAGCCGGUUUAAUAAAUGCCUGGGUAAAUCGUGUAGCUUAACUAUACGAAUUCCGGGUAGACUGUUAAACUUGAGACCGGGAGAAGUUAGAGGUACUCCUGGGGUAGAGGUGAAAUUCUGUAAUCCUGGGGGGACCACCAGUGGCGAAGGCGUCUAGCUAGAACGGGUCUGACGGUGAGGGACGAAGCCCUGGGGCGCAAACGGGAUUAGAUACCCCGGUAGUCCAGGGUGUAAACGCUGCUUGCUUGAUGUUAGUCUGGCUCCGAGCCAGAUUAGUGUCGGAGAGAAGUUGUUAAGCAAGCUGCCUGGGAAGUACGGCCGCAAGCACGAUGAAGCACGAUGUU
rnacentral:rRNA from 1 species